rnacentral:rRNA from 1 species
UACGUAGGGUGCAAGCGUUAAUCGGAAUUACUGGGCGUAAAGCGUGCGCAGGCGGUUGUGCAAGACAGAUGUGAAAUCCCCGGGCUCAACCUGGGAAUUGCAUUUGUGACUGCACGGCUAGAGUGUGUCAGAGGGGGGUAGAAUUCCACGUGUAGCAGUGAAAUGCGUAGAGAUGUGGAGGAAUACCGAUGGCGAAGGCAG